rnacentral:rRNA from 1 species
GGGUUGUGAGGUUAAGCGACUAAGCGUACACGGUGGAUGCCCUGGCAGUCAGAGGCGAUGAAGGACGUGCUAAUCUGCGAUAAGCGCCGGUAAGGUGAUAUGAACCGUUAUAACCGGCGAUUUCCGAAUGGGGAAACCCAGUGUGAUUCGUCACACUAUCAUUAACUGAAUCCAUAGGUUAAUGAGGCGAACCGGGGGAACUGAAACAUCUAAGUACCCCGAGGAAAAGAAAUCAACCGAGAUUCCCCCAGUAGCGGCGAGCGAACGGGGAGGAGCCCAGAGCCUGAAUCAGCAUGUGUGUUAGUGGAAGCGUCUGGAAAGGCGCGCGAUACAGGGUGACAGCCCCGUACACAAAAGCGCAUGUGCUGUGAGCUCGAUGAGUAGGGCGGGACACGUGGUAUCCUGUCUGAAUAUGGGGGGACCAUCCUCCAAGGCUAAAUACUCCUGACUGACCGAUAGUGAACCAGUACCGUGAGGGAAAGGCGAAAAGAACCCCGGCGAGGGGAGUGAAAAAGAACCUGAAACCGUGUACGUACAAGCAGUGGGAGCACAGGUUUACCUGUGUGACUGCGUACCUUUUGUAUAAUGGGUCAGCGACUUAUAUUCUGUAGCAAGGUUAACCGUAUAGGGGAGCCGCAGGGAAACCGAGUCUUAACCGGGCGUUAAGUU